UACGUAGGGUGCAAGCGUUAAUCGGAAUUACUGGGCGUAAAGCGUGCGCAGGCGGCUUUGCAAGACAGAUGUGAAAUCCCCGGGCUUAACCUGGGAACUGCAUUUGUGACUGCAUGGCUGGAGUGCGGCAGAGGGGGAUGGAAUUCCGCGUGUAGCAGUGAAAUGCGUAGGGAUGUGGAGGAAUACCGAUGGCGAAGGCAGCCCCCUGGGCCAAUACUGACGCUCAUGCACGAAAGCGUGGGGAGCAAACAGG
rnacentral:rRNA from 1 species